rnacentral:rRNA from 1 species
GUGAGGAAUUUUCCGCAAUGGGGGCAACCCUGACGGAGCAACGCCGCGUGCAGGAGGACGCUUUUCGGAGUGUAAACUGCUUUUCUGUGGGACGAGCGUGGACGGUACCACAGGAAGAAGCCCCGGCUAACUACGUGCCAGCAGCCGCGGUAAUACGUAGGGGGCGAGCGUUGUCCGGAGUUACUGGGCGUAAAGGGCAUGCAGGCGGUCCGACGCGUUUUGGGUGACAGCGGGUGGCUUAACUACCCGAGCAUGCGAAAGACGGUUGGACUUGAGGGCUCGAGAGGGACACGGAAUUCCGGGUGGAGUGGUGAAAUGCGUAGAGAUCCGGAGGAACACCGAAGGCGAAGGCAGUGUCCUGGCGAGUGACUGACGCUGAGGUGCGAAAGCCAGGGGAGCGAACGGGAUUAGAAACCCCUGUAGUCC